rnacentral:lncRNA from 1 species
GAGCACCCUGCUCAUUGUUUUGGGGGAGUCCCAUGUAAGGAUAUGGGAACAGGUAAUGUUUCAUGUAUGUGGUAUUAAAGGGCAUUUUCCUUAACCAGAAUUUCCAGACAAUUGGAAUUGACUUUUAAGCACCAAUACUUUUAACUGUCCAGAUGGAACUCUUCCUAAACCAUAAUUCAACCCACUCUAAAUACUAUUUCUUUAUGCCUCUGUAAGCAGGUUGUAUGGAACAUAAUUUGACCUUUCCUUGCCUGUGGAGGGCCUUCAUGAAUACUAAUUGUUCUUUGCUGACACAAUGUUUCCCUCUGGACCAAUAUGUUCUCAGGUUUUCAAAUCUUGGAUCCCUGUUCGUUUAAAGAAUUAAAACAAUUGUUCCGUGCUGGAUACUGUUAGGGCUUUCCUUCCACAGGUGUGCUCUGUGUUGUUACGCCUGCUGUCGAUGGUGUACACUUUCAUCUAGGGGCGCUGACCCCUUCCCCCUUCCUGUUUGUCAUUGCCACUGGGGGACUCUAUGCAUCAAGCUACUUCAGACUGGAAGAGAAAGGGAGGAAAUGUGAUGUGGCCACAUCUUUUGUGGAAAUCAAGGUUUCUGUUCCUCACAACUGCUAAGUGGCUGACCUCUGACACUGGAAAGUUGAGUUUGUCAAUUGCCUUUGGGUCAGAAGUCAUGCCAUUAGAACUGAGAUAUUCAUCAGCAACACAGUCUGCUGCUGCUGUGUGUGAGUGGUUAUUCUUAUCUAGAUUUUUUUUUUUUUUGAGAUAGGGUUUCUGUGUAGCCGUGGCUGUCCUGGAUCUCUCUCUCUGUAGACUAGGCUGGCCUUGGACACAGAAAUCUGCCUGCCUCUGCCUCCCAAGUACUGGCAUUAAAGUUGUGUGCCACCACUGCCCAGCCCAUGCCUAGAUUUUGCUUUCUGGCAGAGUGGCUAAAUCUGACUCCUGGCUUCUUAGCUUUUCUGGAAGAAAAAAUUUUUUUACCAGAAAAUUGAUCUUGCUUACCUUUUACUGAACCUCAGUGCCCCUUUACUGAUGAAGCCAUCCUAGAAGAAACACCAAUAGUAAAUACACAAUUUCUGGAAGCUGCCAGAUAAACACUAGUGAAUCAUUAGGUGAAUGUUAUGGUUAUCCGAACCUUACAAUUUCUUGACAUAUGUACAAACAGAUGUAAUUUUUAAAGAUGAAAGUUGCUUUAAUAAAGAUUAAUUUUAUCUG